CGGAAAACAUACAAGAUUUCCUGAAAAAAGAAUAAUAAGACAUGAAGUGGAUGUGCCUUUCCAUAAAUCAAUAAUUGACUGGAAUAAGAAUAUCUAGAUAUUUUGAAAUUGCUAUUUGGAUCUAAGUGAUCAUCGAGCCGACCUAGCUCAGUUGGUAGAGCGCGUGGCUUUUAACCACGUGGUCGAGGGUUCGAGUCCCUCGGUCGGCGAUAAUCGUCAAACAUUCGUCGGUGACAUACGCUUAAGGCCCAUCGUCGCUGGAAGCUGUGACCGCCGAUGAUGGUUUUGAAAUUUGCUCUACGACAAGAACACAGCACAUAAACUUCAAAAAAGUGAUUAAUUAGACUAACUGGUGCUUCCCAUGAUACUCGUUUAUUGCCAUGCUCAAUUAAGGGACAAAUGUUUUUUCCAUCCACAGCAUGCUCAGUCUUGUUGACUGAUGUCAAUUUGACUGGAAAGUCGGGAAUUAUGAAUCAUGACUUAACAGAUCAUGAAUCAUGCAUGACGCACAGACUGUGCACUACACCAGAAUGACCUCGGCACUUCUCACCAUACCAAGAAUCCAGUAUGGUCAUCUCGUAUUGUUCGGUCACUGCUCAGUCUCCAGAUCAUUCCAUUACUUUCCAUCUUUGUAUUGUGAAUUCUGUGGAUCAUGCUUUGCCGGAGGCCCAAACCCGACUACUUGUCUCAACAAAGAAACUCAUUGACAAGGAAAUGCAGUAUGUUGGACAAGUUCUUGCCCCCUUCAGAAACAUAUCCAGGAUCACUUGCGAUCAGAUAUAUAACUCUCAAGACAGUGGAAAUAGCAUGGUUCUCCAUUCAUCUGUCCAAACAUUCCUGCCAGUAGAAUGAACUCAAACCUCCCAGCAAUGUAUGGAUGUCAGGAUUCGAAUUGUUCAAUCACAACAUCCUACCUCUCGAGAGAACCUGUGGACAGGUCCAGCGCCGGAGAUCGUCCAAGAAUCCGUGGUAGGCGACAUACAGCUCGACGCAGUCGUGCAAUCACAGACUAGCCUUUUCUAAUACUCCAAGAUACUAGCUGUGUCCACGUCAAAUUAUCCGAGCUGCAAACACUGAGCCUUGUUCCGCACAAG
rnacentral:lncRNA from 1 species